AUACGGAGGAUCCGAGCGCUAUCCGGAUUUAUUGGGUUUAAAGGGUGCGCAGGCGGCCAUUUAAGUCAGCGGUUAAAUCGUGGGGCUCAACCCCAUUCUGCCGUUGAUACUGGGUGGCUUGAUUGCGGUCGAGGUUGGCGGAAUUCGUUGUGUAGCGGUGAAAUGCAUAGAUAUGACGAAGAACACCGAUUGCAUAGGCAGCUGACCAGACCGCAAAUGACGCUCAUGCACGAAAGUGCGGGGAUCGAACAGGAUUAGAUACCCUGGUAGUCCGCACAGUAAACGAUGAAUACUUGUUUUCGGCGAUAUAAUGUCGGAGGCAAAGCGAAAGCGAUAAGUAUUCCACCUGGGGAGUACGCCGGCAACGGUGAAACUCAAAGGAAUUGACGGGG
rnacentral:rRNA from 1 species